UUUAAAGUGCACACCGGCUAUACCUGCAGCAAGGAAAAUGGCAAAGGGCAGAGUGUGUGUGUGUGUGUGUGUGUGUGUCUGUGUGUCUGUGUGUGCGUGUGUGUGUGUCCGUGUGUGUGUGUCAAAGCCCAGAGGCUAUUUCACUGAUCUUCUUUGGCUGGUAGCUCUUGCUGACAUCGGUGUCUUUCCACUGUAAAUCACUCACACACUCGGCUCUGGGAAACAAGGUUUUACACUGAAGAGAAAACAACACACUUAUAUUUAUCUCCGUCCCCGCGGUCCUCGCCACAGCCUCGGCAAAAUCCAAGCACUCCCGACCAAAUGACCUAUUUGUGUUUACGAUUCACUUCAUAUUAACGUUGCAGAUCGACGCCUUCCCAAUCUCCUCCACCUGCGAUCCACCGCUGCUUCCCGCCCCUGAGCUGCUCAUUCCUACCUGGCGGCGCGCACAUAAUGAAGUCCCAAACAAACCUCCACUCUAUUGCAAAUGAGAAAUAUGGCUGUGCGGGGUAAUUAUAAACAACCGGCUCGAGAUGUUAGGAAGGAUUAACCAGAAACGAAACAAAUAUUUAAUGGAGGCCAUUCACCGGGGACGCGGCGCCAGCAGCUACAGCCACUACAUAAUAUGUGCAUUGACUUUUCGGGCCUGACUGCUGCUUUGCCUUCCUCUUUAGCUGCCUCAGAAGACCCCCCUCCCCACACCGUCGCCUCGGAGCACUUUAUGCUAAGUUAAUUUACCCAAAUAUAUCCGUGGCAUCAUGGCGACGGCGGCGGCCCCCGCUAUUCAACAUCAACAACUUUGUUAAUGGAAACUUGCUGAUCCAUAAACGUUUGCGCCGCUGCAGACGUUCGCUGCGGGGCAGUUCACUUGUGAAUGUUAAAAACCCACAGAUCGAUGAGGGGCAUUUGCAAAGGAGGCAUAAGAAACAUCUGGCGGGCCAAAGUGAACUUUUCUCUGGGCCCACAUUCAUCCAUCUUUGGACUCAGACUGAACGAUGUGCACGCCAAACACAACUGAGCUGUGAGCAGCUCCUCCGUCUCCUCUGUGUGUUGGACUGUGAGAGAAUGGGGGAAACUGACAAGG